UACGUAGGUGGCAAGCGUUGUCCGGAUUUACUGGGCGUAAAGAGCGCGCAGGCGGUCGUUCAAGUCGCGUGUGAAAGCCCCCGGCUCAACUGGGGAGGGUCACGCGAUACUGAUCGACUCGAAGGCAGGAGAGGGUAGUGGAAUUCCCGGUGUAGUGGUGAAAUGCGUAGAUAUUGGGAAGAACACCGGUGGCGAAGGCGGCUCACUGGCUCGUAUCUGACGCUCAGGCGCGACAGCGUGGGGAUCAAACAGG
rnacentral:rRNA from 1 species